rnacentral:lncRNA from 1 species
GUUGAAUAUUUUCAUGAAAUUCUGUCUUACAUCUCUGCUAAUCCUAAAACAAAGAAUGAGGAUCAUUUCAGACGGAGUCUCGCUUUGUCAUGCUGGCUGGAGUGCAGUGGCGCGAUCUUGGCUCACUGCAACCUCCACCUCCCGGGUUCAAGUGAUUCUCCUGCCUCAGCCUCCCAAGUAGCUGAGAUUACAGGCAUCUGCCACCAUGCCUGGCUAAUUUUUUUUUUUUGUACUUUUAGUAGAGACAGGGUUUCACCAUGUUGGCCAGGCCUGUUUCAAACUCCUGACCCCAAGUGAUCUGCCUGCCUCAGCAUCCCCAAAUGCUAGGAUUACAGGCAUGAGCCACCGCGCCCGGCCACAAACGCAUAUCUAAUUGUUCCCCUUCCCCCGUUUUGUCUAUGUCAUCUUAUGUAAAAAAAAUGCAGAUUAACUGAGCCAGACAAAGGCAUGAAUGACUAUUUUUCCUUACCCUCCUCUUACAUGAAAAUUGUGUACUUCUCAAUAUCCCUACCCUUUCCCCUUAAAUUUAGAGCCCUCAAAAUUAUCUUCGGAGAAAGGUAUAGACCUGUCUCCUGGGUGCUUAUUCUUAACUUUGGCAAAUAAACCUCCUAAAAUGAUUGAGACUUGCCAUUUUUCUCGAUUGACAGAACACAUGAGUUCAUGCAAAGUUACUGUUGGAGAAGUUUUCCUGUGGUUGUUUUUUGGAACAUGUAAUAUGAAUGAAGUGAUCAAGAGUUUGAGCUGUGACUUACACUUUAGGCUAUAAUAGAGUAAUUGGUGCGGUUAAGACUUCAUCUCUCCUGGGCAGCUUUCUUGAGCUUUAGGAGACUGACUCACAAUGGAGCUGAGGCUUCUUCUGUCCCUUGCUACUGAUCUGUAAGUAAUAAAACUGCUUCACAUA